rnacentral:rRNA from 1 species
UACAGAGGUCUCGAGCGUUGUUCGGAUUCAUUGGGCGUAAAGGGUGCGUAGGCGGCGCGGGAAGUCGGGUGUGAAAUCUCGGAGCUUAACUCCGAAACUGCAUUCGAUACUGCCGUGCUUGAGGACUGGAGAGGAGACUGGAAUUUACGGUGUAGCAGUGAAAUGCGUAGAGAUCGUAAGGAAGACCAGUGGCGAAGGCGGCUUUCUGGCCUGUUCUUGACGCUGAGGCGCGAAAGCUAGGGGAGCAAACGGG